rnacentral:tRNA from 1 species
AGGCCCGAUAGCCAAGUAGUAAGGCGUCGAUCUGCAAAAUCGAUAUACGCGGGUGCAAUUCCCGCUCGGGCCUU